CGCUGGCAGUGUUGGUGGCACU
rnacentral:miRNA from 1 species